rnacentral:rRNA from 1 species
GUUUGGUUGGUGUUUGCAGCGACCGUGAGUCCCAUGCACUUUACUCACUGCACACCUGGAUGCGACCCAGGUGAUGCCGCGAUCGCUGGGGCCACCCUGCAGAUCUUCACCAUCAAGCUCCUGGAGAUAAAAGGCGGCCUCGAGUAGCCAUUGUCUGUGUACGGCGUGGUCGCUGCGCGAGACUGCGUGGAUCACAGCCGCAAUCUCCUCUUCUCUUGCGAUAGGUGGAGGUCACAGAAGCUCAGUCAGUUCGUACCUUUUUUGCGCUUAAUUGGCCCAUCUCGUGCCAUUGUUUUUACUGAUGAUGUUUACUUUGAAAUCAAGCUAAAAGUAAAAGGCAAAACAUUGUCUCAAGAUAAAGCAUUGAUUAGUGGGAGGCGCCAUUAUAGCGGAGGACGUACCAUUUGCUUCAGCAACUGCUUCUGCACAAUAGAGUUGUGCAUGGAGCGAAUUCAUGAAACUGUCCAGGCCACCAUAUUGGGUGUCCGCGUAAAAAACGGGCCAUGGCCUUUCGAUUAUGGCGGUCAAGUGGCUUGCCAAUCACCAUCGCGGACAUAUAAAGUCACUGGUGGUAAAGUCACUUACACUACUCACGCCCCAUCCAUGGAAGUUGUGAUGCUUCCUUCAUGUGGUAGAACUAUGCCUAAGGGUUCACACGGUUACCUUCGUCUAUCAAGGCAUGUAGUUUCUGUAGAAUUGGAAGGAAGCCUGAAUGUUGUCAUACAAGCCUACUCAGAAUCCGGUGAUAUCACCGCACAAGGUGAGGUUUACUUCAUGCCCAAAGCAUGCAAUAUAAGUCAGGAGACAUGUUUCCUGGGUGACCGUGACACUAAGGUGGAAGUGGAUAUUACUGUAGCUUGGUCUCUUCUUGUUUUGAACCGGCGUCAUUUGAUGAUGAAUGGAAUGGACUUCGAUGAGUUGAAAGAAGCGGUCAGUGGGUUGGGAGUUUGA